rnacentral:rRNA from 1 species
ACGCUAGCUACAGGCUUAACACAUGCAAGUUGAGGGGCAGCAUGGUCUUAGCUUGCUAAGGCCGAUGGCGACCGGCGCACGGGUGAGUAACACGUAUCCAACCUGCCGUCUACUCUUGGACAGCCUUCUGAAAGGAAGAUUAAUACAAGAUGGCAUCAUGAGUCCGCAUGUUCACAUGAUUAAAGGUAUUCCGGUAGACGAUGGGGAUGCGUUCCAUUAGAUAGUAGGCGGGGUAACGGCCCACCUAGUCUUCGAUGGAUAGGGGUUCUGAGAGGAAGGUCCCCCACAUUGGAACUGAGACACGGUCCAAACUCCUACGGGAGGCAGCAGUGAGGAAUAUUGGUCAAUGGGCGAGAGCCUGAACCAGCCAAGUAGCGUGAAGGAUGACUGCCCUAUGGGUUGUAAACUUCUUUUAUAAAGGAAUAAAGUCGGGUAUGUAUACCCGUUUGCAUGUACUUUAUGAAUAAGGAUCAGCUAACUCCGUGCCAGCAGCCGCGGUAAUACGGAGGAUCCGAGCGUUAUCCGGAUUUAUUGGGUUUAAAGGGAGCGUAGAUGGAUGUUUAAGUCAGUUGUGAAAGUUUGCGGCUCAACCGUAAAAUUGCAGUUGAUACUGGAUAUCUUGAGUGCAGUUGAGGCAGGCGGAAUUCGUGGUGUAGCGGUGAAAUGCUUAGAUAUCACGAAGAACUCCGAUUG